UGAAUAAUAUUUUUGUUUCUACCUUAGAACCUCUCUUCAAAAGUUUACACCCUUGCAUUUUCUUUUAAUUCCAUGGCUCUAGAAGUGUUUUUCUUCUGCUCAUCCAGUCCUUACUUUCCAGGCUAUUAUUUUACUAAUGUUUUUCAUUUUCAUAUGAUAAUAAAAUUCUUCAUGACAUGCAUCCUUUAUUCAGCCCUUCUAUUCUAUCUGAGAUGAUUAGACCUGAUGGCUCGUCUUCAGUUUCUGUAUUAAAUGGCGAAUCCAUGUCAGCUGACCUGGCUCAUGAAUUGAUGGGUAUUCCGGAACUGUUCUAGCUUGGUGUUUUCCUGGUAUCCAUUAGUCAUGUUUUACUGGCGGUAUUAGAGGGAGUUCAUGAUAUUAAUACGUGGCAUCUGAUGCUGACGGAGCCUGCCGAAGAGUUUUUAGCUUCCCCUGUCUUCAUACAUGCAAACCUCAGUCUGUCUAGUUAAGGAUCCUGGCCUGACUCACUCAACUAGCAAGUACUAGAGGCUUGGAGAGUUUAAAUAAGUCACGACUGGUGAGCUACUUAGGCCAUGACAAAUACUAUAAAAUGGGAUGUUUCUUGCCACAUCUGUUUCUAUAUGUGUUAGUAUUAAUUUAUAAACAUGUUGUAUGCAUGUUCAAGGUAUUUGACAAAUAAUAGCCCGCAUAUCAUAAUUAUUUAUCCAUACAAGCCUACUUAGACAUAUCUUAGCUAGACGAACCAUAAUUCAAAAAUGAAAAACUCAAAAUCCAGCUAGUAUGCUCGACUCAAAAUUUAAUUCUUAAGUUAAAGAAAUUUUAAAGUAAUAUUAAAUAUUUCAAAACUUAUAAGUAUUAAUCAAACAACUAAAACUACCAUCCCUGGUAGAUAUCACUUGCUUUCAUCUCUCCCUCUUAAUUUUUUUGA